UACGUAGGGUGCAAGCGUUGUCCGGAAUUAUUGGGCGUAAAGAGCUCGUAGGCGGUUUGUCGCGUCUGCUGUGAAAACCCGAGGCUCAACCCCGGGCCUGCAGUGGGUACGGGCAGACUAGAGUGCGGUAGGGGAGAUUGGAAUUCCUGGUGUAGCGGUGGAAUGCGCAGAUAUCAGGAGGAACACCAAUGGCGAAGGCAGAUCUCUGGGCCGUAACUGACGCUGAGGAGCGAAAGCAUGGGGAGCGAACAGG
rnacentral:rRNA from 1 species